AGUGCCUGUGGAAGGGAUGAUGUCUAGCACAGGACCCAGGAUAAGGAUUCUGACUAUAUCUGCAUGUGAUUAAACAUGUGAAGUGCUCUGACCUUCCAUUGGAGGGA
rnacentral:snoRNA from 1 species